AGAACGAACGCUGGCGGCAGGCUUAACACAUGCAAGUCGAGCGCCCCUCACGGGGAGCGGCAGACGGGUGAGUAACGCGUGGGAAUCUACCCAACCCUGCGGAAUAGCUCCGGGAAACUGGAAUUAAUACCGCAUACGCCCUACGGGGAAAGAUUUAUCGGGGAUGGAUGAGCCCGCGUUGGAUUAGCUAGUUGGUGGGGUAAAGGCCUACCAAGGCGACGAUCCAUAGCUGGUCUGAGAGGAUGAUCAGCCACAUUGGGACUGAGACACGGCCCAAACUCC
rnacentral:rRNA from 1 species